GUCCACGCCCUAAACGAUGUGUGCUAGUUGUCGGGACCUUUAGGUCUCGGUGACGCAGCUAACGCUUUAAGCACACCGCCUGGGGAGUACGGUCGCAAGAUUAAAACUCAAAGGAAUUGACGGGGACCCGCACAAGCGGUGGAGCAUGUUGUUUAAUUCGAAGCAACGCGAAGAACCUUACCUACACUUGACAUACCUCUUAGGGCUUUCAGAGAUGAUUGCUUUCAGUUCGGCUGGGGAGAGUACAGGUGCUGCAUGGCUGUCGU
rnacentral:rRNA from 1 species